GGGCAAAUAGUGUAGUUGGUUAUCGCGCCCGCUUCGCAACGCAUCGGCUUACGUAAUGCGGGAGGUGCUGGGUUCAAUUCCCAGUUUGUCCA